rnacentral:lncRNA from 1 species
UUUUUUUAGCUCUGAUAUUCUCUUGAAUCUGAUGUUUUGACUGCUGCUUGCCUUUGUGCUUUUGUUUAAUGAAGUGUUUUCUCUCUAUUAUUCUUUUUAUGUUUUAUGCCUUUUUGAUUAUGCCAAAAAGGGGGAGAAAUUAUUAAAUAGCUCUGAUGAAAACUAUGUCUAAAACCUUAAGCAUUCUGCAACAAUUGUAGAAAUAGUUCUGAUAAAAUUAGCUCUGAUUAAAU